UACAGUGAUCAGGUUACGAUGAUUUCUCAAGUAACAACCUCGUAGCUUGAUCACAAUAUC
rnacentral:pre_miRNA from 1 species